rnacentral:rRNA from 1 species
GACGAACGCUGGCGGCGUGCUUAACACAUGCAAGUCGAACGAAGUGGCGAACGGGUGAGUAACGCGUAAUCAACCUGCCCUUCAGAGGGGGACAACAGUGGGAAACGACUGCUAAUACCGCAUACUGAAGGGGGGGAUGGAGGCGGAUUAGCUAGUUGGAGGGGCAACGGCCCACCAAGGCGAAGAUCAGUAGCCGGUCUGAGAGGAUGAACGGCCCCAUUGGGACUUGGAAACGGCCCAGACUCCUACGGGAGGCAGCAGUGGGGAAUCUUCCGCAAUGGACGACAGUCUGACGGAGCAACGCCGCGUGAGUGAUGACGGCCUUCGGGUUGUAAAGCUCUGUUAAUCGGGACGCGUUACCGGAAUAGAAAGCCACGGCUAACUACGUGCCAGCAGCCGCGGUAAUAC